rnacentral:rRNA from 1 species
GAGUUUGAUCCUGGCUCAGGGUUAACGCUGGCGGCGCGCAUAACACAUGCAAGUCGAGCGAGGGCUUAUUUCUCGCAAGAGAGAUAGGUUCCUAGCGGCGAACGGGUGAGUAACACGUGGGCAACCUUUCCUAUCGCGGGGGAUAACACCGGGAAACCGAUGCUAAUACCGCAUGUCGUCACUGGUCGCAUGGCUGGUGAAGAAAGCAGCAAUGCACGAUGGGGUGGGCCCGCGGCCUAUCAGCUAGUCGGUGGGGUAACGGCCUACCGAGGCGAUGACGGGUAGCUGGUCUGAGAGGACGGCCAGCCACACGGGGACUGAGACACGGCCCCGACUCCUACGGGAGGCAGCAGUGAGGAAUCUUCCGCAAUGGGCGAAAGCCUGACGGAGCGACGCCGCGUGUGGGAUGAAGUCUUUCGGGAUGUAAACCACUGUCGGAGGGGAAGACAAAAAAGACGGUACCCUCCAAGAAAGCCCCGGCUAACUACGUGCCAGCAGCCGCGGUAAUACGUAGGGGGCAAGCGUUAUCCAGAUUUACUGGGCGUAAAGCGCGUGUAGGCGGC